rnacentral:tRNA from 1 species
GAGAGUAUAGCUCAGUGGUAGAGCACAUGCUUAGCAUGCACGAGGUCCUGGGUUCAAUCCCAGUACCUCCA